rnacentral:rRNA from 1 species
UACACAUGCAGUCGAACGGUGAAGAAGACGUUGCUCUNNUUGGAUCAGUGGCGAACGGGUGAGUAACACGUGAGCAACCUGCCCCGGACUCUGGGAUAAGCGCUGGAAACGGCGUCUAAUACUGGAUACGAGCUGCGACCGCAUGGUCAGCAGUUGGAAAGAUUUUUCGGUCUGGGAUGGGCUCACGGCCUAUCAGCUUGUUGGUGAGGUAAUGGCUCACCAAGGCGUCGACGGGUAGCCGGCCUGAGAGGGUGACCGGCCACACUGGGACUGAGACACGGCCCAGACUCCUACGGGAGGCAGCAGUGGGGAAUAUUGCACAAUGGGCGAAA